UGAAGUGUAAUAUAACCUAAUUUCAAUGGGUUUUAUGCGGUUCGAGUGUUCACAAAACACCGGUUGACCUUGAAAAUGACAUGGGACGAUGAUGGGUAAAAAACAAUCUCGUCGAAUAACAUUUCUCAAUUAUCAACGAGUUUAAGCCGUUGACACUGCAUUGCAUGGGAAGAAAAGGUGAUAUUAGAACAGUGUUCAGAUGGAUCUAUUCAGUGUCAUAACUGUAAAAAAAUGGUCGCAUCGUCAGUGCUAUGACAUGUCGGACACAGACCUAAAAUCAUGGUCUCCAUCGUACCUUAAGUUUGUGUGUCAAAAGUGUGGAUUUCGUAAUGGAAAGUACGACGUCGAAGCUGCACUCAAGAGUCAUGUGCAAUAGGUGCGUAUCUAAAAUUCUUGUCAAGAGAGUCUACAGACAGUUGGUGCCCUGGAGAUUGGAGACUCCCAUCAUAUGCUGUCACUAAAUGGAGCGCAGUAAAUUUUGCGACCUACACAUUUUCCAACGUACUUAAAAUGUUGUUUUUUUCAUAAAAAAGUGAUAUUUAUAAUUAUAUGAAUAUCAUAAGCAGUUAGUAGGUAGUUCUUUGAGGAGAGUGAUGUUGACCAACAUUGACGUUACGUUUUAUUUAUUUGUAACAAUGAGGGGGUAAUAAUCAAUAAAUGGUGAGAAAUUGGGUAUUUCUUUUAUAAUAGUCUACAAUGGUUGACAAUCUUCCCCGCUCUUUAAAAUAAUAAUAGGUGCUUUUAAGGCAGUUUCUCGCAUUUCCUUGUCAGUGUCAUAAAUAGCCAUUUAUUUUUACCACUUGUGUCAUAGUGAAUAUACAGUAUCAUUAUGAUUUCUCAAACUCCAGUUUGCAAGACAUGAAGUAUGUCAAUAAACUUUACUAAGUUAUGAAAAUAUUAACAUAAAUGCAAUAUCAAUAGAUAGAGAUUUUAUAAUUAAUAGAUUUGGUUUAUUUUGAACUUAUUUUGUUUCAUUUUCAUAUUGGUUCAUACGUCAAGAAUGUGGGUUGCUAUGGCAACAAAUACUACAAAAAAUAAUGAUCUGACAAUGGUGGAGCCGGUAGGGGACAUCAUUGCUUGGCAAUAGCUUGUUUAAUGUAUGAUUCGGUAGAAAUACAAACACUAAAUAAUGUCAUUUAUCAAUAAUGCAACUAUUAUACCAUUGGUGAAAUUGGAAAAAGAUUUUAUAUUUUUGUUCAUUAUCCCAUGUGAGAAUUUUACCUAUAACCUUUUGAAAAAAAUA